CAGACCCACGGUGAGAGACCAACGACGAGAGAUCCACGGCCAGAGACAAAUGCCAAGCACCACCGCCGAGAAAGUUUGAGAAUAGAGACGACAGGGAAGAGAGACAGCAGACCCACGGCCAGAGACCAACGCCGAGCACCCUCAGAAGGUUUGAGAACAGUGAGAUUUCUGUGAGAGCAAAUGGAGAAAAGUUGUGCGUCGCGUGAGAUGGAUUGCGCGUGUGUUGGGAUUGCUAUGUGUAUUACACGUGAGUUGGCUCAUUUUAUAGUAUGUCCAAAACGCACCGUUUGGUGCUUAUUGUGGUGCUUAACGUGGGAAGAAUCUCAUUUUCCUUUAACAUAAUAUGUGCCGUGAUUCAUUGAUUAUAAAAUAACUAGAAUGGAAACUUUUGAAGAUUUUUUCUAAUUUUAUUAGUCUGCUGUACGGCCAAGGCGGAUGUACGGUACAGCAGCAUGUCAAUUUUAUUCUGAUUUAUAAUACGAUCUUCCAUCCCUCUAAAAUCAUUACAUUCACUGCUCUUCCAAUCAUCAUCCCAUUCAAAAGCCCCACAUCCUUUGCACUUCCAAAACCUACGAUUCGGAUUUUCUUUUGUUCGUGAAGUUCGCAAGACCUUAUUGUUGUUGCAGCAUUUAUCACAAGCUUUCAGUUGUGUUUGAAUUUCGUUUGUGCUUGAAGACAUAAUGAUUGAACAAAUUCUGUUCAAUAUACACUUCAACCCAGAUUCCUUCCAGAAAGAAAAAAUGGUAGCCAAUAUAUUAAAAACCAGCUUAUUGAUUUUUUUUCUCCCCCCCAAAAAAAGAAAUACAUCUUACUGCAUUCAUUCAGCUCAAAUAAAAUUAUUUAAUUUCAACUACAAAGAAAACAAAAAGAAGAAAAAUAUGGUCAAAUGAGAAGAAUGGGCAUGGCUCUGUUCUUAGAAAUGAAAGUGAAUUGAUGGAGUUGACUAGUUGGGGGUUAGUGUAAGUAACUUUAGACCAUCAGCACUUGCAGGAUUAGUGUAAGUAAUUAAAAUAUGAUGUUAUUUUUUAUUAUCUCUUGUAACUUAAAAAUAACUACGGGAUAGUAACAUAAUGGCUAAAGAUCUUAAUGUUUCAAAACCUUAGUUGCACUAUUACAACUCCAUAAUUAACUUUUUAUUUUUCCUACCUGAUUUAACAUAUAUAUUUGUUUUCCAGAGAAGUAUUAAAAUAUGGUGACUUGAUAAACUCAAAUAUCAUGGGUAGAAUGUUACUCUACGGCUUUUAACUCAAGUGGGUUGAGUCAUGCUGGAGGUCAACCAAAACCCAAAAUGUGGAAUGAAGAAUACUCAGCUCCAAACACACAGCUGACAUAUGCUUCAGCAGACUCUCGCACUAACUUAAUGCGUGCAUAGCUUUUUAACAUAAAUUCACUUCAGGAAUAGCUAAAGCUAUAAUACUUUUAACCUUGAUUCAGGACAUAAAACCCCAAGCUUAAACAGAUUGGUUUCAACUUGCAUGACUAACUUCAACACGUGGAGAAAAAAUUUCUAAUAUGGUAAAAUUAGAGAUUGGAAGUGUUUUUGUCUGUGCUUACUGUAAGUGAAUUACCUAGGGGUUUUAAAGGGCUGAAAGAAAUUUUUCUUUAGUUCAAAGCUUUGAGUAUGCAUACUUAAUAAUCUAGCAAUUAUUACUUACCAGUAUAUCAAUACAAUAUUUUCAUCUUUUAGUCCUAUAACUUGUUGUAUUUGUUAGAAAUCAUGUCAAUACGGAAAUCUAAAUCAAGGGCACUGCAAAAUUUCACACAUCCGUCAUGUAAAACAAAAGGGCCUUCCAACUGAACUAAAGCUAUUUUUCCUGCAAUUAUGACCCAGCAAACAUGAGAGGAACUAGGCAAUCACAUUUACAAUCUUUACUAACUGAUGUGAUGAAUAAUCGAAAUAAACUAGCUUUUGGAUAAUGCUAUCACUCUCUACUCAUCUUCAAACAUAAAAGAACAAAUUUCAAACUUAAAUCUCUCUCUAUCACUAUGAACAGUUGCAAUUUCACCCCUUCCAAAAGAAAAUCAUCCUUGUCCGGUAACACACAAAUAAAUAAUUCACAAUAGUCAAUGACAAGCAAUACUCACGAAAUUUGCCAUUACCUACACAAUUUGAGAGCAGCAGAGACGAUAGAGAAGAGAGAAAGCAGACCCACGGUGAGAGACCAACGACGAGAGAUCCACGGCCAGAGACAAAUGCCAAGCACCACCGCCGAGAAAGUUUGAGAAUAGAGACGACAGGGAAGAGAGACAGCAGACCCACGGCCAGAGACCAACGCCGAGCACCCUCAGAAGGUUUGAGAACAGUGAGAUUUCUGUGAGAGCAAAUGGAGAAAAGUUGUGCGUCGCGUGAGAUGGAUUGCGCGUGUGUUGGGAUUGCUAUGUGUAUUACACGUGAGUUGGCUCAUUUUAUAGUAUGUCCAAAACGCACCGUUUGGUGCUUA
rnacentral:lncRNA from 1 species